rnacentral:rRNA from 1 species
UGGGGAAUUCUGGACAAUGGGCGCAAGCCUGAUCCAGCCAUGCCGCGUGCAGGAUGAAGGCCUUCGGGUUGUAAACUGCUUUUGUACGGAACGAAAAGGUGCCUUCUAAUAAAGGGCGCUCAUGACGGUACCGUGAGAAUAAGCACCGGCUAACUACGUGCCAGCAGCCGUGGUCAUACGUAGGGUGCGAGCGUUAAUCGGAAUUACUGGGCGUAAAGCGUGCGCAGGCGGUUUUGUAAGACAGAGGUGAAAUCCCCGGGCUCAACCUGGGAACUGCCUUUGUAACUGCAAGGCUGGAGUGCGGCAGAGGGUGAUGGAAUUCCGCGUGUAGCAGUGAAAUGCGUAGAUAUGCGGAGGAACACCGAUGGCGAAGGCAAUCCCCUGGACCUGCACUGACGCUCAUGCACGAAAGCGUGGGGAGCAAACA